AUUGAACGCUGGCGGCAUGCCUUACACAUGCAAGUCGAACGGCAGCACGGGUGCUUGCACCUGGUGGCGAGUGGCGAACGGGUGAGUAAUACAUCGGAACAUGUCCUGUAGUGGGGGAUAGCCCGGCGAAAGCCGGAUUAAUACCGCAUACGAUCUACGGAUGAAAGCGGGGGACCUUCAGGCCUCGCGCUAUAGGGUUGGCCGAUGGCUGAUUAGCUAGUUGGUGGGGUAAAGGCCUACCAAGGCGGCGAUCAGUAGCUGGUCUGAGAGGACGACCAGCCACACUGGAACUGAGACACGGCCCAGACUCCUACGGGAGGCAGCAGUGGGGAAUUUUGGACAAUGGGGGAAAGCCUGAUCCAGCAAUGCCGCGUGUGUGAAGAAGGCCUUCGGGUUGGAAAGCACUUUUGUCCGGAAAGAAAUCCUUGGCCCUAAUACGGUCGGGGGAUGACGGUACCGGAAGAAUAAGCACCGGCUAACUACGUG
rnacentral:rRNA from 1 species